rnacentral:rRNA from 1 species
AGUCGAGCGGACAGAAGGGAGCUUGCUCCCGGAUGUUAGCGGCGGACGGGUGAGUAACACGUGGGUAACCUGCCUGUAAGACUGGGAUAACUCCGGGAAACCGGAGCUAAUACCGGAUAGUUCCUUGAACCGCAUGGUUCAAGGAUGAAAGACGGUUUCGGCUGUCACUUACAGAUGGACCCGCGGCGCAUUAGCUAGUUGGUGAGGUAACGGCUCACCAAGGCGACGAUGCGUAGCCGACCUGAGAGGGUGAUCGGCCACACUGGGACUGAGACACGGCCCAGACUCCUACGGGAGGCAGCAGUAGGGAAUCUUCCGCAAUGGACGAAAGUCUGACGGAGCAACGCCGCGUGAGUGAUGAAGGUUUUCGGAUCGUAAAGCUCUGUUGUUAGGGAAGAACAAGUGCAAGAGUAACUGCUUGCACCUUGACGGUACCUAACCAGAAAGCCACGGCUAACUACGUGCCAGCAGCCGCGGUAAUACGUAGGUGGCAAGCGUUGUCCGGAAUUAUUGGGCGUAAAGGGCUCGCAGGCGGUUUCUUAAGUCUGAUGUGAAAGCCCCCGGCUCAACCGGGGAGGGUCAUUGGAAACUGGGAAACUUGAGUGCAGAAGAGGAGAGUGGAAUUCCACGUGUAGCGGUGAAAUGCGUAGAGAUGUGGAGGAACACCAGUGGCGAAGGCGACUCUCUGGUCUGUAACUGACGCUG